UCGUCUACGGGAUAGUUUCCGCUUGUCGGGAAGUUCUGCUGCUUUGAUCGAGUGGCGGACGAUGACUCACCAUACGUGUCUGCUCCAAGCAGCCACAUCGGACGCGCGCCUUGUGUUCGCUCUGAAAAGUGAUUUCUUCCUCCAUUUAUCGAUUACUCGUGUUGUUCGCGUGAUUCAGUGUUGAGUGUACUUCCGAGGACAAUCCACGACCCCUUCUGUGACAACAAGUGACUGAUGUUAUGCGAGAGCGUGAGCUUUUUGAUAGGUAACUGAAGAGUGCUCAGCCAAUGUCAAAACUUUGGAAGCGGUGGCCCGGGCGGCUUGUUGGCACAGCGAGGAUGACAAACCAGAGUCCUGAUAGGCAGCAAUGGCAGCUGUUCAUGGUCCUGGUACAGAGGACGGGCUACAGUCCACGAUUGGAGCGGUCUUCCUGCAAGCCCUGACAAGCCUUAAUAAGUGGUAGGCAUUUCUUUUUGUUACCAAAGAGUGAUAGUUCGGACACAUAGCACCUAUUGAGGUAUAGCAUACACUGUCUUUUAGCUUAGCUGUGGGAAGCCUAUGUCCUGCACUUCAGUGCAGUAUUCCUUGGACAUGGAACAUGCAUCAUUUGGUUUGUAAUCCUUGAACAUGGAAUGUUGUCGGAGCCAACGUUGCGACACUU